rnacentral:rRNA from 1 species
AUGGCGAGCCGCGGCUGGCGUCGUCCGCUCGCCUCGCUGCCAGCCCUCGCCCUGGCCCUCCUUCUCCUCGCCGUCGCUGCCGCCGCGGCCGGAUCCCCCGACCGGACCGCCCCCUCGCGGCCGCCGCUGGUGCUCCCGCUCACGCUCUCCUACCCCAACGCGAGCCGGGUCGCGUCGUCCAGGUCCAGGCGAGGGCUCGCCGAAGGAGGUCACCCCAGCGCCCGCAUGCGCCUCCACGACGAUCUCCUCACCAACGGGUAUUACACGACGCGGCUGUACAUCGGGACGCCCCCACAGGAGUUCGCGCUGAUCGUGGACUCCGGGAGCACCGUCACCUACGUGCCCUGCGCCUCCUGCGAGCAGUGCGGCAACCACCAGGAUCCAAGGUUUCAACCUGAUCUCUCCAGUACAUAUUCACCAGUAAAAUGUAAUGUUGAUUGCAAUUGUAAUAGUGAUAAGAGCCAGUGCACUUAUGAGAGGCAGUAUGCUGAAAUGAGCUCCAGCAGCGGGGUACUUGGUGAGGACAUUGUGUCGUUUGGCACAGAAAGUGAACUUAAGCCACAGCGUGCUGUUUUUGGCUGUGAAAAUUCUGAAACUGGAGAUUUGUUCAGCCAGCAUGCUGAUGGCAUAAUGGGGCUGGGCCGUGGUCAACUUAGCAUAAUGGAUCAGCUUGUUGAUAAGGGUGUCAUAGGUGAUUCAUUCUCUAUGUGCUAUGGUGGAAUGGAUAUUGGUGGUGGUGCUAUGGUACUUGGUGCAAUGCCUGGCCCUCCUGACAUGGUAUACACACAUUCAAACGCUGUCCGCAGCCCAUAUUACAACAUUGAGUUGAAGGAAAUACAUGUUGCUGGAAAGCCAUUGCGGGUAGACCCAAGGAUCUUUGACGGCAAACAUGGGACUGUCUUGGAUAGUGGGACCACAUAUGCAUACCUCCCAGAACAAGCUUUUGUAGCUUUUAAAGAUGCUGUGACAAGCAAGGUCCAUCCCCUCAAGAAAAUCCGUGGACCUGACCCAAAUUACAAGGACAUCUGCUUUGCAGGUGCUGGAAGGAACGUCUCCCAGUUAUCAGAGGUAUUUCCAAAGGUUGACAUGGUAUUUGGAAAUGGACAGAAGCUCUCACUUUCACCUGAAAAUUAUUUAUUCCGGCACUCCAAAGUCGAAGGGGCUUAUUGCCUGGGUGUGUUCCAAAAUGGGAAAGAUCCAACAACUCUAUUAGGUGGAAUCGUUGUUCGUAAUACCCUUGUAACCUAUGACCGCCACAAUGAAAAGAUUGGAUUUUGGAAAACUAACUGUUCAGAGUUGUGGGAGAGACUCCAGAGUGGUGGGGCUCCUUCACCAGCAUCUUCAAGUGAUCCAGGUUCACAAGCAGAUUUAUCGCCAGCUCCUGCUCCAAGUGGUUUGCCAGAAUAUGAUGUUGGUCUCAUCGCUGUUUAUAUGUCGAUAAAUGUUACGUAUCCAAACCUGAAACCUCACCUGCAUGAGUUGGCUGAGCUGUUGGCUAAAGAGCUGGAGAUAGAUUCCAGUCAGGUACGACUUAUGAAUGUUACUGGGCAGGGAAACUCUACUCUAAUCAGAUGGGAUAUUUUCCCAGCUGGAUCUUCUAAUUCUAUGUCUAAUGCAACAGCAAUGGGUAUCAUUUAUCGGCUGACUCAACAUCAUGUUCAGUUGCCUGAACAUCUUGGCAGUUAUCAGUUACUCGAGUGGAAUGUGCAGCAACCUGUAUCGAGAAGGUCAUGGUUGCAAGAACAUGUUGUCUCCAUACUGGUUGGUGUUUUGCUAGUUGUUUUCCUGUCUUUAUCGGCCUUUUUAGGACUGUAUCUCUGGAGAAAGAAAUUUAGAGGUCAAGCUGCAUAUAGACCUGUGGGCUCAGUGGGGCCUGAGCAAGAACUCCAACCGCUAUAA